rnacentral:tRNA from 1 species
GCGAGCGUAAUUCAGUGGUAGAAUGUCAGCUUCCCAAGCUGAAAGUCGCGGGUUCGACCCCCGUCGCUCGCU